AAGUCGUAACAAGGUUUCCGUAGGUGAACCUGCGGAAGGAUCAUUAUUGAAUAAACCUGAUGUGGUUGUAGCUGGCCCUUUCGAGGGUAUGUGCACACCCGUCAUCUUUAUCUUUCCCACUUGUGCACCUUUUGUAGCACCUGGAUGUAACACUUUUCCCGAGGCAACUUCGGUCGGGAGGAAUGCUGUCGCUUUCCUUGAAUGUCCAGGCCCAUGUUUUCACAUCCCCAAAGAAUGUAACAGAAUGUAUUAUUGGGCCUUGUGCCAUAUAAAACUAUAUACAA
rnacentral:misc_RNA from 1 species